UUCUUUCUUUCUUUCUUUCUUUCUUUCUUUCUUUCUUUCUUUCUUUCUUUCUUUCUUUCUUUCUUUCUUUCUUUCUUUCUUUCUUUCUUUCUGUGUUGCUCCAUAUUGUUCCUUUUCCACACAAUAUCAGCCCAAAGAGUACUCUUUUAGAACAUAUGAUCAUGCGAUUGAAGGUACCUCAACACCUGAGUGUGCUUCCUAGAUGGGAAUCAGCUGUGAUUUAUAUAUUUGCAUAACUUCAAUAAGCUGUUUCUCAUUAGCAAUGGAAUAAGAUAUUACAGUUAAAAACUGUAAUAUUAAAUCAAUUUGCCAGAGCAGCCCGUACCCUAUGAGUAGAACUGGAGAAGGGAAUAAACGUGCAAAAUGUGAUCCUCAAAGCCAGGACACAUCCACUGCCAUAAUAUUAAAAGAGAUUAACACAAGACUGAACUGUCAAUUUAACAGUCAGCUUGGUCCAACUUUGGAUGUUAAAUUGACGGUUCUAGGUAUAGGGUAAGCUAUCAGAAAUGCAUUAUCAUUUUGUCUGCAGUCAUGUUACACUCAACUAAUCAUGUUACAGUCAUUUUUAAGGUAACAACCAACUCAAUUAUAUAACUCUGGUACACAGCCAAGAAAAGCCUCUUGGUGAAAUGGCUUCAAUAGCUCAGUAGGUAGAGCUUGGGACAUAACGCCAGGGUAGUUAGGUUCGAUCGCACCCAUACGACCACACACAGGAUAAUGCACACAUGACAGGAAGUUGCUUAGGAUAAAGGCAUCUGCUAAAUGGAAUAUAUUAUUAAUGUAUAUUGUGCUGCAGAUUUUAACAUUGCAUUGUUAGAACAAUGACUAAAACACUGCCUGCCAGUGGCUUCUAAACUGAACUGAUCAUCUGAAACAUUGUACAUUUUUUACAUUAUUUGUAUUGUACAGAUGUACUGUUUGCAUGUAAUUUAUUAACCAACCACAACAUUUUAGUUUUAACAUCUGUUUUAGAUUAUGUGGAGUUGAUAUGAUCACGUGAGGCUGAUAAUAUUAGGAUGCUUGAAAGGAAAAACAUCUUUCAGAAGCAAUAGGCAAAAUAUAUUCUGUAUAUGUAUCAGUAAGCUUUAAAAUAUGUUCAUAAUUUUUGAUUGAAAUUAUGAAUUUGUUUAAAUGCAAUUUUCUUCCCUGUAUGAUUUCUAAAUGCAGUAGUCUUAUCCUGGCAAAAACUGUAUGUAUAGUCUACAGUAUGCUAGUUUACUUCAUGUAAGAUCUAGUGCUUCUUACUGUAAUUCCUUUUGAGUCAGUGGUAGUAUCUGUUGGUGUUUUAACAAAAUUAUAUUGUUUCAAAAUUGUGAUUUGAUAGUGUAGAAUUCUUGACAAUAAGUUAGAAAAAGCUUGGAUGGUGCUCUGUCUUGACCCUGUCCCUUUUCUGUCUGUCAUGUUUGUAUGUUUCCUAUUAACAGAUGAAGAGAGCUAUUAGGAGGUCAGUCCUGUUUUCCAACUGCCUUCACUUGUCCUUCAAAAUAGAGCAAAAUUAAUUGUUAUUCUACAUUCCUAAAAAUUCAUUACAUGCAGGAGCUUAUCUUGCCGUCUUGUGCUUGUGCAGUAUCAGUAUGUGUAGUAAUAUAAAUUAAGGUAGUACUAUCCUUGAUUAUGAAUUAUGAGCUUUUUGCUUACAGUGACCUAAUGGUAAACCUUUUGUGUGCUGUCAAAGUUUGGAUAAGUGCAGUUUAUUCCACAGUUUUGUCUUAAAGGUGUGAAGUACUUUUGGCUUAUGAGUUGCGAUAUAGUGUGUGUAAUUUGGUGCUUGUUUAUAUAAUAUGUCCCGCAUAUCAAAGACCAAAACCCUAUAUUAUUUUUCUUCUUGGUGUGUCCUGUCCUAUUCAAUGUCUUAAAACUGGAAUGUAGUACAUUUAGUGCCUUUUGCAUUUCAUCUACUAACUUGAACACUUGCUCAACAUGAAAACAUUUGAUUUUUUUGUAUACAUAGAAAAAAACAAUCCUCUGUAUCUGAUGUUCUAAUUUUAUAUAAAAGCUAUUCCUGAUGAAAUUGUG
ensembl:lncRNA